GUGGGGAAUCUUGCGCAAUGGGCGAAAGCCUGACGCAGCCAUGCCGCGUGAAUGAUGAAGGUCUUAGGAUUGUAAAAUUCUUUCACCGGGGACGAUAAUGACGGUACCCGGAGAAGAAGCCCCGGCUAACUUCGUGCCAGCAGCCGCGGUAAUACGAAGGGGGCUAGCGUUGCUCGGAAUUACUGGGCGUAAAGGGCGCGUAGGCGGACAGUUUAGUCAGAGGUGAAAGCCCAGGGCUCAACCUUGGAAUUGCCUUUGAUACUGGCUGGCUUGAGUACGGGAGGGGGGAGUGGAACUCCGAGUGUAGAGGUGAAAUUCGUAGAUAUUCGGAAGAACACCAGUGGCGAAGGCGACUCACUGGCCCAAUACUGACGCUGGGGCGCGAAAGCGUGGGGAGCAAACAGGAUUAGAAACCCUGGUAGGCC
rnacentral:rRNA from 1 species